UGGAAAAGUACUGGCCACUGCUUUGAUGUCACUGGGGUGCUGCCUUCUGUUUUGAGUUUUUCAAAAUCCAAAGAUGGAACACGGGAAGAGGAAGUCUGGACCGAGGGGGAAGAUCAGGGAGAGGGAGCAGAUGGCCAUCACAAGCCGAGGAGAGAGGACUCAGAAGAAACCAACAUGCCAACCCCUUGAUCUUGGACUUCCAGCCUCUAGAACUAUGGCGAUAGGAUUUCGGGAAUGCACUAAAGUGACAUAGAACUCUUCUGGAAUCUCCGUGACAGUGGGAAUUUUGUAGUCAUCUGGACUGCGAGAGUAAAGCACACCUUCUGGGGAAUAUUUCAGUUCUUCUGUGGUAUAUAAUCCCAUGCCUUGGAUAAAUGCUCCCUCAAUCUGCAGCCAAAAAGUUCACAGG